rnacentral:rRNA from 1 species
CUUUAGUGGCGAACGGGUGCGUAAUACGUGAGAAUCUGCCCUUAGGAGAAGAAUAACUGCUGGAAACGGCUGCUAAAUCUUCAUAUGUCGAGAGAUGAAAUAGCUUAGGCUGCCUAAGGAUGAGCUCACGCCUGAUUAGCUAGUUGGUGAGGUAAUGGCUCACCAAGGCCACGAUCAGUAGCUGGUUUGAGAGAACGAUCAGCCACACUGGGACUGAGACACGGCCCAGACUCCUCCGGGAGGCAGCAGUGAGGAAUUUUCCGCAAUGGGCGAAAGCCUGACGGAGCAAUACCGCGUGAGGGAUGAAGGAUUUUGGUCUGUAAACCUCUUUUCUCAAGAAAGAAGUUCUGACGGUACUUGAGGAAUAAGCAUCGGCUAACUCCGUGCCAGCAGCCGCGGUAAUACGGGGGAUGCAAGCGUUAUCCGGAAUCAUUGGGCGUAAAGCGCCUGUAGGUUGUUUAAUAAGUCUGUUGUUAAAGACUAGGGCUUAACCCUAGAAAAGCAAUGGAAACUACUAGACUAGAGUAUGG